GUCCCUAUAGCGCAAAUGGUAGCGCGUUGGACUUUUAAUCCAAAGCUCGUGGGUUCGAAUCCCACCUGAGAUG